UGGGGAAUAUUGCACAAUGGGCGCAAGCCUGAUGCAGCCAUGCCGCGUGUGUGAAGAAGGCCUUCGGGUUGUAAAGCACUUUCAGCGAGGAGGAAGGUGGUGAACUUAAUACGUUCAUCAAUUGACGUUACUCGCAGAAGAAGCACCGGCUAACUCCGUGCCAGCAGCCGCGGUAAUACGGAGGGUGCAAGCGUUAAUCGGAAUUACUGGGCGUAAAGCGCACGCAGGCGGUUUGUUAAGUCAGAUGUGAAAUCCCCGGGCUCAACCUGGGAACUGCAUUUGAAACUGGCAAGCUAGAGUCUCGUAGAGGGGGGUAGAAUUCCAGGUGUAGCGGUGAAAUGCGUAGAGAUCUGGAGGAAUACCGGUGGCGAAGGCGGCCCCCUGGACGAAGACUGACGCUCAGGUGCGAAAGCGUGGGGCAGCAAACAGGAUUAGAUACCCUGGUAGUCCACGCUGUAAACGAUGUCGAUUUGGAGGUUGUGCCCUUGAGGCGUGGNUUCCGGAGCUAACGCGUUAAAUCGACCGCCUGGGGAGUACGG
rnacentral:rRNA from 1 species